CAGUUGAUGUCUAAUCUCUGAAACACAAGCAUUUGUGAACAGAAAUGUUCUCUGAGUGAGCCACUCAGUUUCUGCUGUAGCACAGAGAAAAGGAAACGCGAGCCUCUGUCUCGCAGAUAGCACUGUGGGAGCUGCGACUGCCUCCAAAGAGCCAGAUCAGACUAAACUCUGAUGGAGGAAUCCAAGUGCGACCAAACCACAUAAGAAUUUAAAGGGCUGUGCUGUUCAGCUGGGGCUGCUCAAUGGCUGAUACCUGAACACUUCUGUGGGGCACCCUGGAGGAACCAAGGGAUGGAGAGAUGGAGCAGCAACUCUUUCAGCAAUCAGCCUUUUGACAUACAUAUGCACACAUGCUGUAUAUAGCAUACGGUUAAUUAAGGGGCCAAUUCAGCCAACUGAAUGAUGAAAGCAACAGAGACUUGACAUGACAGCUCCUACGUUCAGAUCCAGAUCUCAGCUUCUACU
rnacentral:lncRNA from 1 species